rnacentral:tRNA from 1 species
UAAUUUUUGGUGUAAAGGCAUGUUGAAUUUUGAUUUCAAAGGGAAUGGAUCAGACCAUUAAAAUUAG